UACGAGUGGUGCAAGCGUUAUUCGGAAUCAUUGGGCGUAAAGGGUGUGUAGACGGCAUGUUAAGUCAACUGUUAAAUUCUCCGGCCUAACCGGAGGCCUGCAGUAGAUACUGGCUGUGCUAGAGUGUGGAAGAGAGAGGCGGAAUUCUCGGAGUAGCGGUAAAAUGCGUAGAUCUCGAGAGGAACACCAAUGGCGAAGGCAGCCUCUUGGUCCAUUUCUGACGUUGAAACACGAAAGCGUGGGGAGCAAACAGG
rnacentral:rRNA from 1 species